GACGAACGCUGGCGGCGUGCUUAACACAUGCAAGUCGAACGGAAAGGCCCUGCUUUUGUGGGGUGCUCGAGUGGCGAACGGGUGAGUAACACGUGAGUAACCUGCCCUUGACGUUGGGAUAACUUCAGGAAACUGGGGCUAAUACCGGAUAGGAGCGCCUGCUGCAGGGUGGGGGUUGGAAAGUUUCGGCGGUUGGGGAUGGACUCGCGGCUUAUCAGCUUGUUGGUGGGGUAGUGGCUUACCAAGGCUUUGACGGGUAGCCGGCCUGAGAGGGUGACCGGCCACAUUGGGACUGAGAUACGGCCCAGACUCCUACGGGAGGCAGCAGUGGGGAAUAUUGCACAAUGGGCGGAAGCCUGAUGCAGCAACGCCGCGUGCGGGAUGACGGCCUUCGGGUUGUAAACCGCUUUCGCCUGUGACGAAGCGUGAGUGACGGUAAUGGGUAAAGAAGCACCGGCUAACUACGUG
rnacentral:rRNA from 1 species